rnacentral:rRNA from 1 species
UACGAAGGGGGCUAGCGUUGUCCGGAUUUAUUGGGCGUAAAGAGCGUGUAGGCGGCUAGAUAGGUCCGUUGUGAAAACUCGAGGCUCAACCUCGAGACGCCGGUGGAAACCAUCUAGCUAGAGUCCGGAAGAGGAGAGUGGAAUUCCUGGUGUAGCGGUGAAAUGCGCAGAUAUCAGGAAGAACACCCGUGGCGAAGGCGGCUCUCUGGGACGUGACUGACGCUGAGACGCGAAAGCGUGGGGAGCGAACAGG